UUGUUUUAGAUUGAGGUAAUUCGAUCUAAAGGAUGCAUUGUGAAGAGGUGGCAUGCCGUGUCAUAUUCAUCUGUUUGCCGAAUGGAGAGUAGUGAGGGAUGUUUCCGAAGCUGUUGUCAGAAGAAAGGGACAAGUCAUGAAGUUUCCUACAAGUUACAACAAGGCAAAUAGUGACUACUAUUCAGAAGCAGUUUUUCCAGUACUGCAGAUUUCCAGGAGUUGCUGUUGAUGGGACACAUGUUUACAUCAGGAGCCCUGGUGGGGCAAGAGCCAGGUACUACUUCAAUAGGAAGAACAGGUACUCCAUCGAUGUUCAGGUUGUCUGUGAUUAUGCUGGGAAAAUAACUAGUAUCGUUGCAAGGUGGCCUGGACUGGUAGCAGCCACGAUGCCAGGAUCUUUUCUGAGUGUGCACUGAAUUGACAGCUUGAUGCUAGGGCAUAUGAAUAACAGUUGAUUCUUGGAGAUAGACUAUAGGGUAUCCAUGCCUUCUCUGCCUCAUCAGAAGCCAUUUCUUCAUUCAGAGGGUCGACCACAGAUGUGCUUUAAAGGCCAUCUGUACUGGUUCAGCCAAAGAGGAUUAGACAACCCAGCAAGGUCACUGACGGGAGGCUAUCUCAUCAAUUCAGUUCUCAAUUAAAAUAAGAAAAAGAGGAUCAUGGGGGAUUAACAGGCACAGAUUGGGGAAGUUUUCUAUAUAGAGGGAGCAAGUAGCUAGAAGUAGUACAGUGGGGCUUUAACACUUCACACACAAAAAAGGGAGAUGUGUGAUUGAGCGCAUAUUUAUUAAAUGCAAGGAUGAGGACGUUCCAUGCCUCAUCAAUACUAAGAGUAUUUCAAAAUACGGCCCCUCCCUGGUGUUCCCACAAUACUUCGUAGUUAUGCAGCAUUACAUCAAGAACCUGGGUGUUGAACCGUUGAUUAUUUAUGAAUAUUUUUGAAGUUAUGUUUAGUUGAUAAGUAUUUGUUGUCACUCUGACGGUAUUUGUAAUUAAGUGUUCUCUAUAGAUUAAAUGCACCCGAUUUAACUAUAAUUAGCAUUGUACUGCUGAGUUGAGGGGUGGGUCAAUAUAAAUUAUUUGGUUGGCAGCUAGGGGAGAAUAUUCGAACAAAUAUUAUUUACUGUACUAAGCGAAGUCAGAAUUAAAGAACUUUUAUGUGCAAAUUUGAAUUUUCGUCACCCAUUUUGUUGUAUUUCUGAUUUUCUUUCUGCUAAUAGCGCUACAGUGAGACUUUUAAUUGGCCUUCCAGAGCCUCUCUUAACCUCUAGUGGGCUAUAUUUCAUAUAAGCAUGCUACAAAAUUUACAAAUGUGAACUGCAUUGUUUGAACAAACGGUAGAUUACUAUUGUGUUGUAUGCUCAAUUAUUUAUGUAAAACAUGAAAAUACGAAUACAAUAUUCUUGCUUUCAUAUAUUUACAAAGAUAACUGAAA